UAUAACUUAACUUCUUCCUUGUUGACAGAGCUUUACGACCCAAAGGCCUUCUUCACUCACGCGGCGUUGCUGCGUCAGGGUUCCCCCCCAUUGCGCAAAAUUCCUC
rnacentral:rRNA from 1 species